ACACUUUUGUUGGAGCCUGAAUGCAAGAGCCAUUCUCACUGGGAUGCCACAGCUCUGGAGACUUCUUAUAGAUGUUGUUUGGAACACUCCAGACUUGGAGAUGGGCCUUUAGACACUGCCUGUAGUACUGCUUAGCAACAGCUCUACAGACAUAAAGAGAUUGCAGUGGCUGCUCCUUCCUGGCUCCACCAUUCAGCAAGAGCUCCACAGAGGAUGAAGAGAUCCUCCUAGCUUGGCGGACUACUCUGCUCUGAUGGAAGUACCAUCCUGGUCCAAACAUGAAAGAAUUCCCAACAUCAAGAUUGAUUGAAACAUAUUCAGUGGAUCAUUUGCUCCAGAAGAAGCUGGUUGCCAUGUCUUGAGGACAGUAAACCCUCUGGGGAGGUUCCUGUGGUAAGGAACAAGGGCUCCUGGCAAUAGCCUCUGAGUGAGCCACCUUGAAAAUGGAUUGUCCAGCCCCAGUCAAGCUUUCAGAGGACUGUAGCCCCUGCCAAUGUCUUCACCACAACCUCAUGAGAUCCCAAGCUACAACCACUCAGUUAAGUUAUGCCAAAAUUCCUGAUUCACAGAAAGUGACAUACAGGAGAGGUCACAGUUAAGAUCUUGAUGUUCUAUCUUGACCCAUAAUAUAGGAACUUCAUCUUUUGGGAAGCACCAGGGAGAGCUGCCUGUGCCUGGCAGAAGCUGCCCAUGCCCCACUGAUACCCCACAGUACUUCCUGUUCUGCUCAGUACUCCUGCUUCUUUCUACAAACAACUGUGAUUCUCUACCUGGGAGCUUCCUCUGGCCACAGGAGCCUGCUCACCUGAUUGGGACACCCUAGCAGUACUGGUGAUAGAUGCCUGCAUUGACUUUCUUCCCUGCUGUGCUUUUCUUUCCAUUCCCCUGCCAGUGCUUCCUGGAAUCAUCUCCCUCAUCAAUCAUUUGUUCCUAAAUUCUGUCUGAGUCUUUACCAAAAUCAUAGACUUACUGUAAAAUGAUUUUUCAAUUAGUAACUUUUCACCAUAACUUUUUUGAGGUAAUUUAUACCACUUUUUCGAUGACUCUUCUUGUUUAUGCUUUCACCUGAAAACAUACAAAAUAAAUAUAAUCUAAAAAUAAUAUUUUUUAUUUUAGACAAGAACACACUCAGAAAUUUUCUCAACACAAUUUCUAUGCAGAGAAGAGAUGUGGGACAGAUUUGAACUGCUGUCAUAUUUGUAUGAACCCAAGACAUUUUCCAAGACCAAGAGGGAUAAAGACAGCAAUUUCUAUGACUGGCAUUUUACGUACAUGCACUGUUUCCAAGUGUUCUUAUGUUCUGUGCCUUAAACAUUCUGUGUUGCAACUUUAUGAAUUGAAUUAAAGAUAAUCCCAAGCCCCCAAUUGUCUCAAAAAGUGAAAAAGUAAAUGUUAUAGAAAGAAAAGCGGGAAAAACUUUAAGCAUGAAAUAAAAGAUGGGUUGUGAUAAAAGAGGACUGAAGAAGGAAAAGGAAUGAAAGGUUCUGCCAUCCUUCAUGGCAGCCCACUCCACUUGGUAUGAGAUACUGCUCCCCUGGCUGAAAGUUAACUGCUGUACUCCCUCCACUUUCUAUAAAUGACUCCCUGUGCCUUUCCUUCACCACACAACUCACACUCUCUUCCUUCCUAGUGAGUCCACUAAGGCUUCACUGCAUUAUUACAUUUAUUUCAUUUAGGAAAAACUGACUUUAUUUUCCUUCAAAUUGUUUUUUAUUGUUUAUAUGAGCUUGGUUUUAUUGUCAUUCUAUUUUUCUCCAUGAAAAUAGAGAAAAAUAGGGUCGAAAGGUUAGGUUGGGUGGAAAGGAAUUAUAUUUUUUCUCACUAAAAUUGAUGUAAAUAUUGUUUUCAAUUGAAUGAUUUUACACAGUGGCACAGUUUCAGGUAUGUUGCUGAGCAGGAAAGUUGUUAACCAAAGCAUGAAUGUAUUAAGGAGAUGUAUGCAGAAUGACAUGCAAGGUUAUCUAUGAUUGCUGAGUGAGAAAGAGCAAGUUGCUGAGUAUUAUAUAAGUAUGAUCUCACUUUUGU
rnacentral:antisense_RNA from 1 species